AGAGCGCGUGCAGCCGCCGAGCACAUGGACCCGCUGGUCGAGCAGGCUCAGCAAGGCCGAGAUGAAGAGGAGCUGCGGACCAGGAUGCGAAACAGCACCCCCAAAGCCCCCGGAGUGGAUAUUCACGCGAAAAGGAUGUUGGCAGUCCUGGCGACCUGGGAGUCAUGGCUGAAUCUACCCUCCC
rnacentral:lncRNA from 1 species